UAGAGUUUGAUCAUGGCUCAGGAUGAACGCUAGCGGCAGGCUUAACACAUGCAAGUCGAGGGGCAGCGGGGGUAGCAAUACCCGCCGGCGACCGGCGCACGGGUGAGUAACGCGUAUGCAACCUACCCUCCACAGGGGGAUAACCCGGAGAAAUUCGGACUAAUACCCCAUAACACCAUUUGCCUUCAUGGGCUAGUGGUUAAAGGAGCGAUCCGGUGGAGGAUGGGCAUGCGUAUCAUUAGAUAGUUGGCGGGGUAACGGCCCACCAAGUCUACGAUGAUUAGGGGUUCUGAGAGGAUUAUCCCCCACACUGGGACUGAGACACGGCCCAGACUCCUACGGGAGGCAGCAGUGAGGAACAUUGGUCAAUGGCCGGAAGGCUGAACCAGCCAUGCCGCGUGCAGGACAACGGCCCUACGGGUCUUAAACUGCUUUUGCGAGGGAACAAUAAGGUCACGAGUGGACCGACGAGCGUACCUCGCGAAUAAGCAUCGGCUAACUCCGUGCCAGCAGCCGCGGUAAUACGGAGGAUGCAAGCGUUAUCCGGAUUCAUUGGGUUUAAAGGGUGCGUAGGCGGCC
rnacentral:rRNA from 1 species